rnacentral:lncRNA from 1 species
UCCUCUUUCUCCCAGGAACUCAAAGAGAAUUAGGGAAGAGACACAGAAAAAGCUGAAGGAAAAUUAACCAGGAGAUGUAGAUGAGCCCUGAACAUCUCCUGGUAACUAAAGAAAUGAAAUGAAGGACUCUCUCACAUAAUCCUGGACAAACUUAAUUGCAAUAAAUUAAUUUUAUCAAGGUUGGAAUACACAGAUUUAUGCAUAAGGUUGGCCAAAUAAACCCUAUUCAGAUAAUUUGAAAGUCUAAACAAACGCGGGACUCAUUCAGUAUCGUUGAAAUUUUGAACCCAGGCAGCCUAGUCGAAUGCACCAAUCAGAGCGCCGGGAAAGCAAUUCCAGGCUCCCGAUUGGCCCUACAGACCGCAGCAAUACCGGAAGUCAGAAGGAGGUACCAGCGAACAACGCGGCCCGGAGUUCCUGGGAAGUGUAGUCUCCUGCGCCUGCGUGAGUCCACUGGAACAGCUCUUAGGAGUACGUUAUUACAAAGACCGGAGUGCUCUGCUCCAAACUAUUUGGGAAAGGUGGUACCAACUGAAGAGGUGGAGAGUCAACCUAGAUCACAGAAUGGCGCGCAUCCUGGACCUCUCCAAGUUUUCAGGGAAGAAAACUCUAUUUUUAAAAAUUAUUCUCGUUAUGGUUGUGCAUUAUCCCUUGAAGGUUCAGGGAGUUCA